AAUCAACGCUGGCGGCGUGCCUCAGACAUGCAAGUCGAACGAUUAAGACUUCCUUCGGGAAGUGCAUAAAGUGGCGCACGGGUGAGUAACACGUAAGUAAUCUACCCUCGAGUGGGGAAUAACGUUCGGAAACGAACGCUAAUACCGCAUAACGCAGCGGCACCGCAAGGUGACAGUUGUUAAAGGAGCAAUCCGCUUGAGGAGGAGCUUGCGGCAGAUUAGCUAGUUGGUAAGGUAAUGGCUUACCAAGGCUACGAUCUGUAUCCGGUCUAAGAGGACGGUCGGACACACUGACACUGAAUAACGGGUCAGACUCCUACGGGAGGCAGCAGUCGGGAAUUUUGGGCAAUGGGCGAAAGCCUGACCCAGCAACGCCGCGUGAAGGAUGAAGUAUUUCGGUAUGUAAACUUCGAAAGAAUGGGAAGAAUAAAUGACGGUACCAUUUAUAAGCUCCGGCUAACUACGUGCCAGCAGCCGCCGUAACAC
rnacentral:rRNA from 1 species